UUCUGCUUUUUAAGUACCUAUAUCAUAACCUCGAUUUUGCCACUUGCCUGGGAAUCCCAGAUUUGUUUUGAGACAGAGUCUCACUCUGUUGCCAAGGUUGGAGUGCUGUGGUGCCAUCAGGCUUAUUACCCUGCCAGGCUCAAGCAAUCCUCCCACCUCAGCCUCCCAAAUAGCUGGACUAUAGGUACUUGCCACCAUGCCCAGCUGAUUUUUAAUUUAUUUUGUAGGGGCGAGGUCUUACUAUGUUGCCCAGAUGUACUAGCUGAUUGCUUACAGAAAAUGUCUGCCAAUCCCCGCUCAAGUGGAUUAUCUUCAAUGACUUAAGCUGUUUUAUAUGGCAGGGGAAAAGGGAGCCUAAGUAGAUUCUUCCUAUAUUCAUUUAGUCACCAGGUUCUUCUAGGAGUCUUCUAUGGUCCUGAGUGUGCAAUUGGUGAACAAAGCGGACACAUGGACAUGGUCACUGUCCUCAGGGACUUUACUAUCCAGAGGCAGGUCACUGGAAAUUGAUCAGCCUGCAUGUACAUGUCGAUAGGAUGAUGAGUCAAAGUGAACCCUGACAGCUUUGGAAUUUGAAGUGUGUCAGCUGGUCAGUGAGUCACAUUGCCCAGGGCACGGCUACCUAGAAGUGCUCUGUGUGAAACCUACCGGGAGGAAGGAUCAGGUGAGUGCCAUGAGACCAGCAGGGGAAAAGCCAAGUCCAGGAAUGUCAACCAGGAUAGGGCUGCUCUGUCAUAUUGAUUCAGGCAGUUGGUCAGAGAGUUAGGCAAAAGCAGCACCAGCACAUGAAAAACAAGGUGGAGAGCGGCAUCCCAGGGCAAAGCUGCCUGCUAAGGCCUUCUUCACAUUUUCUGCCUAGGGUAGCUAAUGAGACGCCUUAGCCUCUAAGAGCUCAAGACUCCUGAGCACAGCAAGGGUGCAGGGAUGGUCCUCUCAGGAGGCUAAGUACUUCUUUGUAACUUUGUUUCAUUUAUAACUUUGUUUCAUUUCUUUGUUUCAUUUGUAGCUUCGUUUCAUUUCUUCAGAUUAGAAAUUUUUUUUUCCUUAUGGCUGCAGCCUUUAGAGGAGUCCACAGUAAUCGCCUUUUGUCCUCUCAGAAAAUCUGUGGAUAAGACAACAGGCACAUCAUCUUUCUCACAACUUACCACUGAGGAAACGGUACAGAGAGGAAGAAAAAAAGCAUCCCAGAAAGGCAAUCUAGAUCACUCAGUGACUACCGCCUAGCACCUCCAGGAACAGAGGCAAAAGUUGAAAGCAGGGUGUGUCCCCAGGACAUCCCUGCAACUCACCCUUUCUCCUCUGCUUCCAGAAACAUCCAAGCAAUGCCUCUAGGGCUAGUCAUAGACUUAAUCUUGUCUGCCUGGGUCCUUAAGAUCUCAGAUAGAAUCCUGUAAGCUAUUCUUGCUAACCCUAUACCUCGGGAGCAGCCUAGCAAUGUGAAAUGAACAUGGGCUUUGGGGCCGAAUGAACCUCACCCAGAGCCUGGUUCUGCUACUCAGUAGCUCCAUUAUUUGACCUUGGCAAUGACAACUUCUAUAAGCCUCAGUAAAUUUACAUACAAAGCAGAGAGAAUACUUUCAACUAUAAAAAAUGCGUGUAAAGAGAAGAGUCUUCUUCCUCACCAAUCCAAUACCCUUCCCAGACUUGUAUUAAUAAUGCUUUGGUUCAAAUACCUCCAGAUUUUCCCUAGGCUUAUACUGACACAAAUAUGUAUAGAUAUAGAUACACAUGCAUAUUUU
rnacentral:lncRNA from 1 species